rnacentral:tRNA from 1 species
GAGGCGUUAGUUCAGCGGGAGAAUACGUCCUUGACAGGGACGGGGUCACAGGUUCAAAUCCUGUACGCCUCA